ACUUAAGCAUAUCAAUAAGCGGAGGAAAAGAAACCAACAGGGAUUGCCUUAGUAACGGCGAGUGAAGCGGCAAAAGCUCAGAUUUGAAAUCUGGUAUCAAAUUGAUACUCGAGUUGUAAUCUGUAGAGGAGUUUUUCGGAGUAUGGCAUUGGUUAAAGUUCCUUGGAAAAGGGCAUCAUAGAGGGUGAGAAUCCUGUUUAUGACCAGUGUCUGUCUCCAUUAUGAACCUCCUUCAAUGAGUCGAGUUGUUUGGGAAUGCAGCUCUAAAUGGGUGGUAAAUUCCAUCUAAAGCUAAAUAUUGGCAAGAGACCGAUAGCGCACAAGUAGAGUGAUCGAAAGAUGAAAAGAACUCUGAACAGAGAGUUAAAGAGUACGUGAAAUUGUUGAAAGGGAAGCACUUGUGACCAGACAAAUUUACGGUUAAUCAGCCAUCAAUUUUUGGUGGUGCACUUAAUUGUAGAUGGGUCAGCAUCAGUUAUAGUAGUGGAACAAAGAUCAAAGGAAUGUAGCUCCUCUUUGAGGAGUGUUAUAGCCUUUGGUUCAAUACCGCUGGCCAUGACUGAGGAUAGCACUUCCAGUAAGGAUGCUGACAUAAUGGUCAUAAGUGACCCGUCUUGAAACACGGACCAAGGAGUCUAACAUCUAUGCGAGU
rnacentral:rRNA from 1 species